rnacentral:rRNA from 1 species
UACGGGGGGGGCAAGCGUUGUUCGGAAUUACUGGGCGUAAAGGGCUCGUAGGCGGCCAACUAAGUCAGACGUGAAAUCCCCAGGCUCAACCUGGGAACUGCGUCUGAUACUGGAUGGCUUGAAUUCGGGAGAGGGAUGCAGAAUUCCAGGUGUAGCGGUGAAAUGCGUAGAUAUCUGGAGGAAUACCGGUGGCGAAGGCGGCAUCCUGGACCGAUAUUGACGCUGAUGAGCGAAAGCGAGGGGAGCAAACGGG